rnacentral:rRNA from 2 species
GGCAAUUGCGGGUGCAUAAUAAUGCAGUCGACGCAAUCUUUUAGCAAUGAGUGCUUGCACCAGCGUUUUAAGUGCGAGUGGCGAACGGGUGAGUAACACGUGGGCAAUCUGCCCAAAAGUGGGGGAUAACACUUGGAAACAGGUGCUAAUACCGCAUCAACCGGCUGACCGCAUGGUCGGCCGGGCAAAGACGGCGUCAGCUGUCGCUUUUGGAUGAGCCCGCGGCGUAUUAACUAGUUGGUAAGGUAACGGCUUACCAAGGUGAUGAUACGUAGCCGAACUGAGAGGUUGAUCGGCCACAUUGGGACUGAGACACGGCCCAAACUCCUACGGGAGGCAGCAGUAGGGAAUCUUCCACAAUGGACGCAAGUCUGAUGGAGCAACGCCGCGUGUAUGAAGAAGGUCUUCGGAUCGUAAAAUACUGUUGUCAGAGAAGAACACGUGAUAGAGUAACUGCUAUGGCGCUGACGGUAUCUGACCAGCAAGUCACGGCUAACUACGUGCCAGCAGCCGCGGUAAUACGUAGGUGGCAAGCGUUGUCCGGAUUUAUUGGGCGUAAAGGGAACGCAGGCGGUCUUUUAAGUCUGAUGUGAAAGCCUUCGGCUUAACCGGAGAAGUGCAUUGGAAACUGGAAGACUUGAGUGCAGAAGAGGAGAGUGGAACUCCAUGUGUAGCGGUGAAAUGCGUAGAUAUAUGGAAGAACACCAGUGGCGAAAGCGGCUCUCUGGUCUGUAACUGACGCUGAGGUUCGAAAGCGUGGGGAGCGAACAGGAUUAGAUACCCUGGUAGUCCACGCUGUAAACGAUGAAUGCUAGGUGUUGUGGGGUUUCCGCCCUUCGUGCUGCAGCUAACGCACUAAGCAUUCCGCCUGGGGAGUACGAUCGCAAGAUUGAAACUCAAAGGAAUUGACUGGGGCCCGCACAAGCGGUAGAAGCAUGUGGCUUCAUUCGAUUCAACGCGAGACCUACCAGUCUGACAUCUUUUGACAUCUGAAAAGAUCAGACUUCCUUCGAGUCAAAUGACAGGUGCUGCAUGACUGUCGUCUAGCUCAGUCGGGAAUGCUGAUAAGUCGCGAACGAGCGCACUUAUGGCCAUUGCCAGCAUUCAUUGACGCUCGCGAACUGCGGUCAACCGGAGCAAGUGGGAUGACCCUAGCUCAUGCCUAGACUGGUCUGCACGUGCC